GAUGAACGCUAGCGGCAGGCUUAACACAUGCAAGUCGAGGGGCAGCAUGAUGUAGCAAUACAUUGAUGGCGACCGGCGCAAGGGUGCGUAACGCGUGAGUAACAUGCCCGUAUCAGGGGGAUAACCCGAAGAAAUUCGGACUAAUACCCCAUAGUAAUUUGUGGAGGCAUCNCUUUUAUUUGAAACGUAAGGAUUAUGGGUGAGCACGCUUCUGAUUAGGUAGUUGGUGAGGUAACGGCUCACCAAGCCGACGAUCAGUAGGGGUUCUGAGAGGAAGGUCCCCCACAUUGGAACUGAGACACGGUCCAAAACUCCUACGGGAGGCAGCAGUGAGGAAUAUUGGUCAAUGGAUGGAAGUCUGAACCAGCCAAGUCGCGUGAAGGAUGAAGGUUCUAUGGAUUGUAAACUUACUUUUGUCUGAGGGUAAAAAAGCGGAACGUGUCCGUUCUUGCAAGUAUCAGACG
rnacentral:rRNA from 1 species